GCGCGAAAACUUUACAAUGCUGGCAACAGCGAUAAGGGAACCUCGAGUGCCAGGUUACAAAUCUGGCUGUCGAGAUGCCUAAAAAGCAUUUCAUAGCAAGGGCCGGGCAAGACCGGUGCCAGCCGCCGCGGUAACACCGGCGGCUCGAGUGGUAACCGUUAUUAUUGGGUCUAAAGGGUCUGUAGCCGGCCGGAUAAGUCUCUUGAGAAAUCUGGCAGCUUAACUGUCAGGCUUUCAGGAGAUACUGUCUGGCUCGAGGCCGGGAGAGGUGAGAGGUACUUCAGGGUUAGAGGUGAAAUCUUGUAAUCCUUGAAGGACCACAAGUGGCGAAGGCGUCUCACCAGAACGGACCUGACGGCAAGGGACGAAAGCUAGGGGCACGAACC
rnacentral:rRNA from 1 species